UGCUUAGGGUGCUCAAUAUUUAUUUUCUUUUUCUUUUCUUUUCUUUUUUUUUUUUUUUUUGAGAUGGAGUCUCGGUCUGUUGCCCAGGCGGGUGUGCAGUGGUGCGAUCUCGGCUCACUGCAACCUCCACCUCCCAGGAGAACAUUCCCAGUCUGCCUUUCACUGAGUUUUUACCUGUUCACUAGAACAACAAAAGGGAACCCGAUCGGGAAACUCUGCUGUCAACUAAGCAAACUCUAAAUUUAACAUUUGGGGGACCCCCUUGGAGAGUAGUUGAGAGCUAUGUGCUCCCCUUUUCAGAAAAAUGCUCUCAAAUACUCAGUGCAUAAGCCCACAGCCUUAGCAGGUUCCCAGACCUUAGGUCAGCAAUCCUGUUCUAAGGCAUACAUCACGAGCAGCAUUUUGAUUUUCAUCUGGGGAACUUAUAGUUCAUAAAGACCUACUGAUCCAUUAAAAUUUCCACUUGAUUUUGCCAUUAGUAAUCUCUUAAACAAGUCCAAGGAAGCCAGAGGAAGUUAUUUCUUGAAUGCUUUUAUACUAGUGCUUUCAAGAGUUCGUGUUGCUGACUCCAGUUUUUAAAAUUAUUAUUCUCAUCUUCUGCAAUGCCUCGAGGCAUGUUUUUAGCUGAAUAGCAAUAAUUAUGGGAUUGUGCAAUACUGGAAGAAGCAGUAAAAAUAAAAUGUAAUACUAAAAAAAAAAAAA
rnacentral:lncRNA from 10 species